rnacentral:lncRNA from 1 species
CUGGCUGGCUGACAGUAAAAUGAGCAUGUUUGUAACUUGGUCCAAUUUACCAACCAAGUCUGAGGAUGCUCCUACAUCAUUGCCACUCAAAUUUGACUCGAAAAAAAUAUUCGAGCUACUCAAGAUUGACUCUAACUCGAUAAUAAUCAAGUCAAAUCGAGCUUAAGUAGCUUGUGAGCAAUUCAACUCAUUUUCACCUCUAGCUCUUGACCUACUAUCAGCGAUAGGGUGAUGACUCCUUAGAUUGGAACAAUGUCCCUAAUGAGGAUAACAAGGGGAGAGUCAAGCUUUCACAGCUGAUUCAAGGAUAACCUAAAUCAAAAGAAAGCAUCAUAAAAUAAAAUAUCAACUGAGCUUUCAUUAUCCACUAAAAUGUAGCAUACAGCAUAAUUUUCAAUAAUUAAAGAUACAACAACUGCAUCAUCAUAUGGGGAUUGGACUCCUUGCAAAUCUUUAUCAGAAAAGGAGAUAGUGCCCUCAAUCUUUUGCUUAAUCACUAUUUCUUGUUUUCCACAUCCUCUUUUAGCGGUCAGACUAUAGAGCUGACCUCUCGUGAUGGUAUUGCUAGUGCUAGCAAUGGGUCAGUUCUCCUAACCUCUUCCAAGCUGUUGAGGUUCUAGUUAGACUUCUUUGCACUCACUCUAAUUAUUGACAUAUCACCCGAGCUAGGCAUGUCAGAUGAGAGCCCC